rnacentral:rRNA from 1 species
GUGGGGAAUAUUGGACAAUGGGCGCAAGCCUGAUCCAGCAAUGCCGCGUGAGUGAUGAAGGCCUUAGGGUUGUAAAGCUCUUUUACCCGGGAUGAUAAUGACAGUACCGGGAGAAUAAGCUCCGGCUAACUCCGUGCCAGCAGCCGCGGUAAUACGGAGGGAGCUAGCGUUGUUCGGAAUUACUGGGCGUAAAGCGCGCGUAGGCGGCUAUUCAAGUCAGGGGUGAAAGCCCGGGGCUCAACCCCGGAACUGCCUUUGAAACUAGGUAGCUAGAAUCUUGGAGAGGCGAGUGGAAUUCCGAGUGUAGAGGUGAAAUUCGUAGAUAUUCGGAAGAACACCAGUGGCGAAGGCGACUUUCUGGACGAUGUCUGACGCUGAGGCGCGAAAGCUAGGGGAGCGAACGGGAUUAGAUACCCCGGUAGUCC